rnacentral:rRNA from 1 species
AUGGUACCUCUCUCUCAUGAGGAGAUUGACCUGGUGGUCUCCUCGUCCAAAUCUAACUCUGCCCCUGGGCCUGAUGAGUUUUCGAUCACUUUCUUUCAAAAAUUCCAUCAGGUCCUCAAGCAUCUGGUUUAUGCCAUUAUCACUGGCAUUUGUUUGGGCACGAUUGACAUCUAUAGGAUUAACUACGUGGUCAUUUCCCUUCUUCCCAGGGUUAAAGAGGUGGACUCCAUCAAACUCUUCAGGCCCAUCGCCUUGAUUAACAAUAUUGCCAAAUUUUCUUCUAAAGGAUUUGCCACACGUCUUUCGCCGAUUGCUCAUAAGGUCAUUGGUCAACAGCGAACGUCCUUUAUUAAGGGGCGCUUCAUUUUGGACGGGUUUCUUAGUCUCCAUGAAAUUAUUCACGAUCUAAAAGUUAGAAAGAACAACACUGUGGUGCUCAAGUUGGAUUUUGAAAAGGCAUAUGACUCGGUUAGCUGGCCUUUCCUUCGUGAUAUUCUCCUAGCCAAGGGUUUUGAUGGCGCGUUCAUCCAUCGUAUUAUGCAGUUGGUUUGUGGUGGCCAUACCGCGGUUUCUGUGAAUGGUAUUGUGAGCCCUUUUUUUAAAAAUGGUCGGGGCCUACGUCACGGAGAUCCGAUUUCGACCCUGCUUUAA